AUUGAACGCUGGCGGUAUGCUUAACACAUGCAAGUCGAACGGUAACAGGCCUUCGGGCGCUGACGAGUGGCGGACGGGUGAGUAACGCGUAGGAAUCUGCCUCAUAGUGGGGGACAACGUGUGGAAACGCACGCUAAUACCGCAUACGCCCUACGGGGGAAAGCGGGGGACCUUCGGGCCUCGCGCUAUGAGAUGAGCCUGCGUUAGAUUAGCUAGUUGGUAGGGUAAAGGCCUACCAAGGCGACGAUCUAUAGCUGGUCUGGGAGGACGAUCAGCCACACUGGGACUGAGACACGGCCCAGACUCCUACGGGAGGCAGCAGUGGGGAAUAUUGGACAAUGGGCGCAAGCCUGAUCCAGCAAUACCGCGUGUGUGAAGAAGGCCCUAGGGUUGUAAAGCACUUUCAAUAGGGAGGAAAACCUGUCGGUCAAUACCCGGCAGCUUGACAUUACCUAUACAAGAAGCACCGGCUAACUCCGUGCCAGCCGCCGCAGUAAAAC
rnacentral:rRNA from 1 species